rnacentral:rRNA from 1 species
GAUGAACGCUGGCGGCGUGCCUAAUACAUGCAAGUCGAGCGAACGGACGAGAAGCUUGCUUCUCUGAUGUUAGCGGCGGACGGGUGAGUAACACGUGGAUACCCUACCUAUAAGACUGGGAUAACUUCGGGAAACCGUAGCUAAUACCGGAUAAUAUUUUGAACCGCAUGGUUCAAAAGUGAAAGACGGUCUUGCUGUCACUUAUAGAUGGAUCCGCGCUGCAUUAGCUAGUUGGUAAGGUAACGGCUUACCAAGGCAACGAUGCAUAGCCGACCUGAGAGGGGGAUCGGCCACACUGGAACUGAGACGCGGUCCAGACUCCUACGGGAGGCAGCAGUAGGGAAUCUUACGCAAUGGGCGAAAGCCUGACGGAGCAACGCCGCGUGAGUGAUGAAGGUCUUCGGAUCGUAAAACUCUGUUAUUAGGGAAGAACAUAUGUGUAAGUAACUGUGCACAUCUUGACGGUACCUAAUCAGAAAGCCACGGCUAACUACGUG